GAUGAACGCUGGCGGCGUGCCUAAUACAUGCAAGUCGAACGCUGGAAAUCUAGCUUGCUAGAUUGAAGGAGUGGCGAACGGGUGAGUAAUACAUAAGCAACCUACCCACGAAGACUGGGAUAAUCUCUGGAAACGGGGACUAAUACCGGAUAGGUAAUCGGAAGGCAUCUUCUGAUUAUUAAAGGUUAAAAACACUGGUGGAUGGGCUUAUGGCGCAUUAGUUAGUUGGUGAGGUAACGGCCCACCAAGACGAUGAUGCGUAGCCGGCCUGAGAGGGUGAACGGCCACAUGGGGACUGAGACACGGCCCAGACUCCUACGGGAGGCAGCAGUAGGGAAUUUUCGGCAAUGGGGGAAACCCUGACCGAGCAACGCCGCGUGAGUGAUGACGGCCUUCGGGUUGUAAAGCUCUGUUGUAAGGGAAGAACGGUAGAUAGAGAAUAUCUAAAUGACGGUACCUUACCAGAAAGCCACGGCUGACUACGUG
rnacentral:rRNA from 1 species